UCCUUGGUGGCUCAGUGGUAAAGAAUCUGCCUGCAAUGCAGGAGAUCCAGGUUCAAUCCUUGGGUUGGGAA
rnacentral:tRNA from 1 species